CUGUUACCAUAAAGCACCAAUGCUGCAGCAAGCAAAGGCUCUAGCAGCUCAGCCAGCUGCUUGUGGCUGGAAAGCCAGACAGGAUGUUUGUGACUGUUGCCAUGGGAACAAAGGGGCAGUCCAUUCUGUACUGAGCACCGGAUGUUAGCUCAGUGUGUGUGUGUGUCAUAUGACCCGUACUGGAUGUACUUGGGAGGAGUUUCUUCUUGCUGUUGUUGAGUGCAGACAUGAUUCUCUGUACUGAUGUAAGAGGCAGAAAUAAAUGAUGUAAAUAGUUUUCUGUCUGCUUCUUUCCCCUCCCUGGGGACACCAAAGGGGAGAGAGGAAGAACGGUGUGUUCCUCUCAUACAUCUGAGAAGAAUCGCUGGACCUCGCCUGCUUAUCAGCAGAGUGGAGACGCAGGGAGGUCGACAGGAAUAUCUGCCGGUGCCUACGCUGUGGCACAUUCCUCUGACCCAGGCAGAAUUCCAACAGUGGUAGCAGAGGAUGGUUGCGAUUCAUCGGACAUCUGCAUGAGAGGCUGGUGGAUUGUCCUCCACUGCUCCUAAGGAGGAAUAGAAGCGUCUGAAAGAAGCCAGAGGCUCCACAGACAGCUGAUGGAAAGAAGAGGUGUUUUCCAGAGCAACAAAGUUCAAGGUAUGCUGCAUUUCGGGCUAAAAGUGUGAACGCAGGAAGAUUAAUUCCCUGGUUCACGGAGCUGCGUUUCAAAGAAAACAAAAGCUCCGAGAGGAAGAGGCCUGCAGCUUGAAGGCUGAAGCCUGCAUUCCACAAAUUUUUGUGGUAGAUAAGGAGUCCCAUUGAAAUGCAUUGUUGCUAGGCAACGGUCCUGGAAAGUUACUGGCAAGGGGCUGGACUCUGAGUGUAAGCCUGGGAAAGCGAAACAAAACCAGAGAAUGUUUUGGCUACAAGGUUUACGAGCUCUUGGAAGGGACUUUUCAAUAGCAGCCUGCGUUUAGCUGCCAGGUGCAAAGAGCGUAAACAAUUUGCAGUUUGCUGCGUGAG